rnacentral:misc_RNA from 1 species
AAUAUUGGUUAUCAUCGGAAGAUCCGUCGGUUGAUUUUGAUCUAAAUUUUGAUGGGCCAAGUAUGGAUAUAGAUGAUUUGCUGAGCAUUAUUGAAGAGAAAUCGGAUCCUCCUGCUCAGCAGAGUAUGCCGGAGGAUUUAUUGCAAAAUGACAUGGGGCAAGGUUAUUCAGAUUUGGAGAGAUCUUCAGCUUCAAGGGCUCAAUUUCUUGGACACAUUGGAGUUUCCCCUUCGUCCAACUCAGAAGUUUCAGAUACAAGGACUGGUGUUUCCGAUGGCUCAUCUGAUUCCGCAGGGAAUUCAAUUGUUGAUGGCAGAAAGCUUGGAUUUCAAUUAGAUAGAUGCUCUCCAGUACAUAAUUUCUAUGGAAGCCUGACUGAUUGGAGACUUGGUCAGGACAAUGAAUGGUUCAGUGACAGGGAUAACAUCUCUCAGAGUACUUCAUCUAAUGUCCAGCAAGAAAGGUUGCUGCUAAGCCAAUCAGCUGCAGAGAACAAGUUCAAAA